CCUGCGGAGGGAUCAUUGCUGGAACGCGCCCCAGGCGCACCCAGAAACCCUUUGUGAACUUAUACCUUACUGUUGCCUCGGCGCAUGCCGGCCCCCCUGGGGGCCCCUCCUUCUGGAGGAGCAGGCACGCCGGCGGCCAACCUAACUCUUGUUUUUACACUGAAACUCUGAGAAUAAAACAUAAAUGAAUCAAAACUUUCAACAACGGAUCUCUUGGUUCUGGCAUCGAUGAAGAACGCAGCGAAAUGCGAUAAGUAAUGUGAAUUGCAGAAUUCAGUGAAUCAUCGAAUCUUUGAACGCACAUUGCGCCCUCUGGUAUUCCGGAGGGCAUGCCUGUUCGAGCGUCAUUUCAACCCUCAAGCCUGGCUUGGUGAUGGGGCACUGCUUUUACCCAAAAGCAGGCCCUGAAAUUCAGUGGCGAGCUCGCCAGGACCCCGAGCGCAGUAGUUAAACCCUCGCUUUGGAAGGCCCUGGCGGUGCCCUGCCGUUAAACCCCCAACUUCUGAAAAUUUGACCUCGGAUCAGGUAGGAAUACCCGCUGAACUUAAGCAUAUCAAAAGGCGGAGGAA
rnacentral:rRNA from 1 species